GGCCGAGGAUACCUCUACGCCGGCUGUCUGGUUGCGAGGUCCUUCGCGACUCCCAGAUAGGACGAUACCUGUUGCCUUGCGCCCGCUGAUUCGACCGAGCGGGGAUAUGAGUUGGAUUGUCCUUAGUGGCGGUGCUCACAAACGCAAGGUCAACGGCAUUCUGGGUCUUUUGUGCAGGGACCACUUCCCAGGCCUGGUCCACUAUCAAGGACGGUACGAGCCGGCCUGGACGUGGGACCACUACAUCGCCGCCAACAACGAUCUAUUGGAUCGGAGCGGCAGAGUCUUUGAGAACAAGGCGGAGUGGGUAAAGGCCGAGCUCUGGGUAAGUUUUCCCUGGCAAAAAAUGGUCAAUUCAUCACAUUCAUUGAAAAUAUAGUUAAUAAUGACAUGAUCCAUCGUCUUUAUAUGCAGGAUUUUUACAGGUGCGACGAGGGAUACGAGGAGCGGGCGGUGAUUGUGGCUCACAAUCGAUGCGUUAAACUCAUGAAGGACAUGCAUUAUGAGGCGCAAGUCCAGUGCAUCAUCAACUAUUGUGCACAUUUCCUAAAGCAGAAGAUCGGGAAGACUGAGGCGAGGGAUUUGAGGCUGACCCGAGAGCAAUAUUUACAGGUUCCUGCGUGGUGGUGUCGUAAUGACACCGUGUGCUGGGAGCGCAUAGUGGACAAGUGGUUCGACCCCGAGUGGCAG